rnacentral:rRNA from 1 species
GACGAACGCUGGCGGCGUGCCUAAUACAUGCAAGUCGAACGCAGUGGGGACGGGUGAGUAACACGUGGGUAACCUCCCAUCAGAGGGGAUAACACUUGGAAACAGGUGCUAAACCGAUACUGAUGGAUGGACCGGCGGGGGAUUAGCUAGGGGGUGGGGUAACGGCUCACCAAGGCCACGAGGCAUAGCCGACCGGAAAGGGGGAUCGGCGACACUGGGACGGAGACACGGCCCAGACUCCUACGGGAGGCAGCAGUAGGGAAUCGUCGGCAAUGGACGAAAGUCUGACCGAGCAACGCCGCGUGAGUGAAGAAGGUUUUCGGAUCGUAAAACUCUGUUGUGAGAGAAGCGGUAUCUAACCAGAAAGCCACGGCUAACUCCGUGCCAGCAGCCGCGGUAAUAC